ACCAAUGACCAUAUCGCCCAAAAUGCGCGCAAUCUCGUUAGAUCUCAGAAGCUAUGCAGGGUUGAGCUUGAACAGUGCAUGGAUGGGUGACCACCGUGCACGGAACAGCUGCUGCAAGGC
rnacentral:rRNA from 1 species